rnacentral:rRNA from 1 species
AGAGUUUGAUCCUGGCUCAGGAUAAACGCUGGCGGCGUGCCUAAUACAUGCAAGUUGUGCGGUAAGGCUUUGCACUAAGUACUUAAUUUUUUUGAGUAUUUUGUGCAAAGUACACGAGCAGCGGACGGCUGAGUAACGCGUAGGAAUCUACCUUAAAGUGAGGGAUAAGCAUCAGAAAUGAUGUCUAAUACCGCAUGUGCUCUACGGAGUAAAGCUUCGGCGCUUUAAGAAGAGCCUGCGUAUGAUUAGCUUGUUGGUAAGGUAAUGGCUUACCAAGGCGAUGAUCAUUAGCUGGUCUGAGAGGAUGAUCAGCCAGACUGGGACUGAGAACGGCCCAGACUCCUACGGGAGGCAGCAGUAGGGAAUUUUCCACAAUGGGCGAAAGCCUGAUGGAGCAACGCCGCGUGCAGGAUGAAGGCCUUCGGGUUGUAAACUGCUUUUAUAUGUGAUGAUUAUGACAGUAGCAUAUGAAUAAGGAUCGGCUAACUCCGUGCCAGCAGCCGCGGUCAUACGGAGGAUUCAAGCGUUAUCCGGAAUUACUGGGCGUAAAGAGUUGCGUAGGUUGCAAAGUAAGCAAAUAGUAAAAGCGUACAGCUCAACUGUAUUUAUAUUAUUUGAACUGCUUAGCUAGAGGAUGAGAGAGGUUAUUGGAAUUCCUAAAUGUAGGAGUGAAAUCCGUAGAUAUUAGGAGGAACACCGAUGGCGUAGGCAGAUAACUGGCUCAUUCCUGACACUAAGGCACGAAAGCGUGGGGAGCAAACGGGAUUAGAUACCCCGGUAGUCCACGCUGUAAACUAUGAAUGCUAGCUGUUAAAGGUAUCGACCCCUUUAGUAGCGAAGCUAACGCGUUAAGCAUUCCGCCUGUGGAGUACGGUCGCAAGACUAAAACAUAAAGGAAUUGACGGGGACCCGCACAAGCGGUUGGAGCGUGCUGUUUAAUUCGAGAGUAAGCGGAGAACCUUACCCAGGCUUGACAUCCUGCGAAUUUCUUCGAAAGAAGAAAGUGCUUUAUUGAGCGCAGUGACAGGUGUUGCAUGGCCGUCGUCAGCUCGUGUCGUGAGAUGUUUGGUUAAGUCCAUCAACGAGCGCAACCCCUAUAGUUAGUUGUAUUUUUCUAGCUAGACUGCCCCGGUAACGAGGAGGAAGGAGGGGUCGAAGUCAGGA